rnacentral:rRNA from 1 species
GAAUAUUGGACAAUGGGCGAAAGCCUGAUCCAGCCAUGCCGCGUGGGUGAAGAAGGCCUUCGGGUUGUAAACCCAUCUUGUUGGGGAAGAAAUCCUGCUGGCUAAUCCCCGGCGGGGAUGACGGUACCCAAAGAACAAGCACCUGCCAACCUCGUGCCGGCACCCGCGGUAAUACGAAGGGUGUAAGCGUUACCAGGAAUUACUGGGCGUAAAGCGUGCGUAGGUGGUGGCUUAAGUCCGUUGUGAAAGCCCUGGGCGCAACCUGGGAAUUGCAGUGGAUACUGGGUCACUAGAGUGUGGUAGAGGGUGGCGGAAUUCCCGGUGUAGCAGUGAAAUGCGUAGAGAUCGGGAGGAACACCCGUGGCGAAGGCGGCCACCUGGGCCAACACUGACACUGAGGCACGAAAGCGUGGGGAGCAAACAG